CCUGAAGAUACCUUCCGGCGCAGUGUCCACACAGAUUGUCUGAUAGAAGUAAUGAGCAAGGCGCCUGCGAAGUCGCGACACACCGUGUCCCCUUCGUCUAGCGGUUAGGACUCCGCCCUUUCACGGCGGCAACAGGGGUUCGAAUCCCCUAGGGGACGCCACUUGCUUGGUGACAGGUGAAAGGUGUCGCUAAAAAUAUCUUAAAGCUGACUGCAAAGUCAGGUUUAAGAUAUUGCUCUUUAACAAUCCGGAACAAGCUGAAAAUUGAAACGACGUGUCGUGUUCAUUCUCCGUAAUCAGAAUGAAAUCACGAUAUGUUCGAGUCUCUCAAUGCCUGCAACCGACACACGUCUUUCGGGACGCUUGUGGGUUGUGA
rnacentral:misc_RNA from 1 species